ACAUUUAUUGCUGUAUUUAUUUUUGAUCAGUUUUAAUUACUUACCACUUUGUAGUUCUACAGAUUGUAGUCUUCUCUGCAUACUCUGUGUUAGCUAGCUGUCUUUCACUGUGUUCUUCGUCUUCGAUGGUCAGGACCCCACAGGACCACCACAGAGCAGCUUUUAUUUGGGUGGUGAAUCUUUCUCAGCGCUGCAGCGAUGUUGGUGCACUGUUCUCGUUUAUUUGAGGACAAUGAACAAGCAGCAUGCAGAUUUGGAGCAGUGAGCUUACAGAGAAAGGCUUCAUGGGACCGUCUUCUCUCAGACUGGUUUCUGCUCUCCACGGGUUAGAAACAUCCCAACAAUACUUUGAAAACACGAGCUGAGAUGGGAUAACUGGCAUUGAAUGCGGUGACAUGUCUUCGUCUGCACUUGUAUCAUACCAAGCGCCAAUGAAGAGUAAGUGAAAGAAAACAAGGAUAAAAUGUGUGCAGCAAACAAACAAGCCAGCAACCGAAAACCUUUAAGCAAUCAUGUAAAGCACGUCGAACAUCUGAGUGCUGCGAGAGAACAAAGCAAGGCCCCUGUCA
rnacentral:lncRNA from 1 species